rnacentral:rRNA from 1 species
GACGACGCUGGCGGCGUGCUUAAAACAUGCAAGUCGAACGGACUUCUCAUGAAGCUUGCGAUUGAGAAGUUAGUGGCGACGGGUGAGUAACGCGUGGGCAACCUGCCCCUGAGCCCGGGAUAACAGUUCGAAAGGACUGCUAAGACCGGAUAUACUUGCGGGGAAGCAUUUCUCUGUAAGGAAAGGGAACGCUCAGGGAUGGGCCCGCGUCCCAUUAGCUAGUUGGUGAGGUAACGGCCCACCAAGGCGACGAUGGGUAGCCGGCCUGAGAGGGUGAACGGCCACACUGGGACUGAGACACGGCCCAGACUCCUACGGGAGGCAGCAGUUGGGAAUCUUCGGCAAUGGGCGCAAGCCUGACCGAGCAACGCCGCGUGAGUGAUGAAGGUUUUCGGAUUGUAAAGCUCUGUCUUCCGGGACGAUAAUGACGGUACCGGAGGAGGAAGCCACGGCUAACUACGUG